rnacentral:lncRNA from 1 species
AAAGAGCCAAAGAUAGAAAAUAUCCAAAGAGAAGGAAGAGAUCUCAAACUGGACAGCAAAAGAGUUAGAGGUAGAAAAAUAUCCAAAGAAAAAAAAAUACUUAAAAUUGGGUGAUAAAAGAGCUGGAAGCAGAAAAACAUCCAUAGAAAAGAAAAAUAUCUCAAACUGAGCAGCAAAAGAGCCUAGAGGCAAAAAAUAUUCAAAAAGAAGAAACAAGGAACUAGAGGCAGAAAGACACUCAAAAAGAAGAAAAGACCUAAAAUUAGGUGAUGAAGGAACCAUAGACCAGAAAAAGAAAAUCUAAACAAAAUGAAAAUGCCUUAAAUUGCACGA